UGUUAAAAAUUUUAUACAUCUAUACUAUUAAAAAUUGGCCUGGCUGAUGAAAUAACCUGGUAGUGACACACGACAUACCAUGUGUACCACAUAUUAAUAUAUAGGGACUAAUUUUUAACAGUAGAAAUGUAUAAAAUUUUUAAUA
rfam:Gossypium raimondii Chr08_contig_742, whole genome shotgun sequence.